GCACAUAUGAUGAAGCAAAUCAGCAUGAAUUAAGUAUGAUAUUUUACUUAAAAGUAAACGCUUUCUGAUGUG